AAGUCGUAACAAGGUUUCCGUAGGUGAACCUGCGGAAGGAUCAUUCACAAUAAGUGUUUAAUGGCACUUUCAAAUCCAUUACCCACCUUGUGUGCACUGUAGAUGAGGGAAGAAGACUUGUUCUCAUUCCCUUGUCAUACUUACAUACCUAUUUUUCUUGAUUGUCUACAAUUUGAGUAAUAAAAAAAACUCGAAUACAACUUUCAACAACGGAUCUCUUGGCUCUCGC
rnacentral:misc_RNA from 1 species